rnacentral:rRNA from 1 species
AACGAACGCUGGCGGCAGGCCUAACACAUGCAAGUCGAACGCUCGUAGCAAUACGGGAGUGGCAGACGGGGUGCGUAACGCGUGGGAACAUACCCUUUGGGUUCGGAAUAACUCAGGGAAACUUGAGCUAAUACCGGAUACGCCCGAGAGGGGAAAGAUUUAUUGCCGAAGGAUUGGCCCGCGUCUGAUUAGCUAGUUGGUGAGGUAACGGCUCACCAAGGCGACGAUCAGUAGCUGGUCUGAGAGGAUGAUCAGCCACACUGGGACUGAGACACGGCCCAGACUCCUACGGGAGGCAGCAGUGGGGAAUAUUGGGACAAAUGGGCGCAAGCCUGAUCCAGCCAUGCCGCGUGAGUGAUGACGGCCUUAGGGUUGUAAAGCUCUUUUACCCGGGAAGAUAAUGACGGUACCGGGAGAAUAAGCCCCGGCUAACUUCGUGCCAGCAGCCGCGGUAAU